rnacentral:lncRNA from 1 species
UGGCUGUGGUGGAUGGUGCCGAGACAUGGUGGCUGUGGUGGACGGUGCUGCUGAGACAUGGUGGCUGUGGUGGAUGGUGCCGAGACAUGGUGGCUGUGGUGAACGGUGCUGCUGAGACAUGGUGGCUAUGGUGAACGGUGCUGAGACAUGGUGGCUGUGGUGGACGGUGCUGCUGAGACAUGGUGGCUGUGGUGAACGGUGCUGAGACAUGGGGCUGUGGUGAAUGGUGCUGCCGAGACAUGGUGGCUGUGGUGAACGGUGCUGCUAAUGUGUCUGGAAUUGGUGGAUUCUUGGUCUCACUGACUUCAAGAUUGAAGCCGCAGACCCUCGCAAUGAGUGUUACAGUUCUUAAAGAUGGUGUGUCCGGAGUUUGUUCCUUCUGAUGUUCGGAUGUGUUUGGAGUUUCUUCCUUCUGGUGGGUUCGUGGUCUCGCUGGCUUCAGGAGUGAAGCUGCAGACCUUCGCAGUGAGUGUUACAGCUCAUAAAGGCAGUGCAGACCCAAAGAGUGAGCAGCAGCAAGAUUUAUUGCAAAGAGCGAAAGAACAAAGCUUCCAUAGUGUGGAAGGGGACCCGAGGAGGUUGCUGCUGCUGGCUCCCGCAGCCUGCUUUUAUUCCCUUAUCUGACCCCACCCACAUCCUGCUGAUUGGCCCAUUUUACAGACAGCUGAUUGGUCCAUUUUAUAGAGAGCUGAUUGGUCUGUUUUGACAGGGUGCUGAUUAGCGCGUUUACGAUCCCUGAGCUAGACACAGAAUGAUAUUUACAAUCCUCUAGCUAGACGUAAAAGUUCUCCAAGUCCCCACUAGAUUAACUAGACACAGAGCAGCGAUUGGUGCAUUUACAAACCUUGAGCUAGACACAAGGUGCUGAUUGGUGCGUUUACAAACCUUGAGCUAGACACAGAGUGCUGAUUGGUGUAUUUACAAUCCUGUAGCUAGACAUAAAGGUUCUCCAAGUCCCCACCGGAUUAGCUAGAUACAGAGAGUGCUGAUUGGCGCAUCCACAAACCCUGAGCUAGACACGGAGUGCUGAUUGGUGCAUUUACAAUCCUCCAGCUAGACAUAAAAGUUCUCCAAGUCCUCACCCGACUCAGGAGCCCAGCUGGCUUUGCCUAAUGGACCCAGCGCCUGGCCGCAGGCAGAGCUGCCCACCAGUCCAGUGCCGUGCGCUACACUCCUCAGCCCUUGGGUGGUUGAUGGGAUCGGGCACCGCGGAGCAGGGGUGGUGCCCGUUGGGGAGGCUUGGGCUGCAUGGGAGCCCACGGG